rnacentral:rRNA from 1 species
UGAGGAAUAUUGGUCAAUGGACGCAAGUCUGAACCAGCCAUGUCGCGUGCAGGAAGACUGCCCUAUGGGUUGUAAACUGCUUUUGUACGGGAAGAAAAUCAGCUACGUGUAGUUGUUUGCCGGUACCGUACGAAUAAGGAUCGGCUAACUCCGUGCCAGCAGCCGCGGUAAUACGGAGGAUCCGAGCGUUAUCCGGAUUUAUUGGGUUUAAAGGGUGCGUAGGCGGACUGGUAAGUCAGUGGUGAAAUCCUGCAGCUUAACUGUAGAAUUGCCGUUGAUACUGUUAGUCUUGAGUACAUUUGAGGUAGGCGGAAUGUGGUGUGUAGCGGUGAAAUGCAUAGAUAUACCACAGAACACCGAUUGCGAAGGCAGCUUACUAAACUGUAACUGACGCUGAGGCACGAAAGCGUGGGUAUCAAACAGG